rnacentral:rRNA from 1 species
AGAGUUUGAUCCCUGGCUCAGGACGAACGCUGGCGGCGUGCCUAAUACAUGCAAGUCGAGCGCGGGAAGCGAGUGGAUCCCUUCGGGGUGAAGCUCGUGGAACGAGCGGCGGACGGGUGAGUAACACGUGGGCAACCUGCCUGUAAGAUCGGAAUAACCCCGGGAAACCGGGGCUAAUGCCGGGUAAUACUUUCUUUCGCAUGAAGGAAAGUUGAAAGAUGGCUUCUCGCUAUCACUUACAGAUGGGCCCGCGGCGCAUUAGCUAGUUGGUGAGGUAACGGCUCACCAAGGCGACGAUGCGUAGCCGACCUGAGAGGGUGAUCGGCCACACUGGGACUGAGACACGGCCCAGACUCCUACGGGAGGCAGCAGUAGGGAAUCUUCCGCAAUGGACGAAAGUCUGACGGAGCAACGCCGCGUGAACGAUGAAGGUCUUCGGAUCGUAAAGUUCUGUUGUUAGGGAAGAACAAGUACCGUGCGAAUAGAGCGGUACCUUGACGGUACCUAACGAGGAAGCCCCGGCUAACUACGUGCCAGCAGCCGCGGUAAUACGUAGGGGGCAAGCGUUGUCCGGAAUUAUUGGGCGUAAAGCGCGCGCAGGCGGUUCCUUAAGUCUGAUGUGAAAGCCCACGGCUCAACCGUGGAGGGUCAUUGGAAACUGGGGAACUUGAGGACAGAAGAGGAGAGUGGAAUUCCACGUGUAGCGGUGAAAUGCGUAGAUAUGUGGAGGAACACCAGUGGCGAAGGCGACUCUCUGGUCUGUUUCUGACGCUGAGGUGCGAAAGCGUGGGUAGCAAACAGGAUUAGAUACCCUGGUAGUCCACGCCGUAAACGAUGAAUGCCAGACGUCGGGCAGCAUGCUGUUCGGUGUCGCAGUUAACGCAUUAAGCAUUCCGCCCGGGGGAGUACCGUCGCCAGAAUUAAAACUCCCAGGGAAUUUACGGGGGGCCCCCCCAACCCGUGGAGCCAAUUGG